CUCUGUUGCCACUGGCAACGGCAGGCACCGCCCCAGGUUAGCGUGGCAAGAAAAGGUGGGACUUCCGGAUCUCAAAGCCAAUGUACCUGAAGAAAUUAGCCAGUUACGCAGCACUUUCUGUCACGUGACACUAAGAGCCAAUGAUAGUGUAUAACCGAGGGCCCACGUGUCUCCGUUCCCAUUGGCAACCCGCGGCUUCUAAACAACCUACUUUCCUCAGGCCCCAAGUGCUGGCCUCCCUGUUUCCUGUCUGAUCCCUCCACAACCAUGGCAGAGUUGGGCCUAAAUGAGCACCAUCAAAAUGAAGUCAUUAAUUACAUGCGUUUCGCUCGUUCAAAAAGAGGCUUGAGACUUAAAACGGUAGAUUCCUGCUUUCAAGACCUCAAGGAAAGCAGGCUGGUGGAGGAGACUUUCACCAUCGAUGAGGUUUCAGAAGUCCUCAAUGGGCUGCAGGCUGUGGUACACAGUGAGGUGGAGUCUGAGCUCAUCAAUACAGCUCACACCAAUGUCCUGCUCCUCCGGCAGCUGUUCUCACAAGCCGAGAAGUGGUACCUAAAGCUACAGACAGACGUCUCUGAACUUGAGAACAGAGAAUUAUUAGAACAAGUUGCUGAGUUUGAAAAGGCAGAAUUUGCAUCUUCAAAUAAAAAGCCCAUCAUAGAUAUCACAAAGCCUAAACUUGUUCCAAUUAACGAAGGUGGAACAACUGAACUCCUAAACAAGGAAAUUUUAAGACUUCAACAAGAAAAUGAGAAACUAAAGUCAAGGCUGAAGACCAUUGAAACACAGGCUGUAAAUGCGCUGGAUGAGAAGUCAAAAUUGGAACGAGUACUUCAAGAUUUACAGCUUGAUCAAGGAAAUCAACAGGAUUUUAUCAAGGCCCAAGACUUGGAUGACUUGGAAAACACAGUUGCAGCUCUUAAGAGUGAAUUUCAGAAGACACUUAACGACAAGACAGAAAACCAAAAGUCUUUGGAGGAAAACCUAGCAGCAGCCAAACAUGACCUCCUCAGAGUACAGGAGCAGCUGAGCAUGGCUGAAAAGGAGUUAGAGAAGAAAUUUCAACAAACAGCAGCUUAUCGAAACAUGAAAGAGAUUCUCACUAAAAAGAAUGAUCAAAUCAAAGACCUUCGGAAAAGACUUGCAAAAUAUGAAUCUGAAGAUUAAAGACUGGAGGUUUUGUCUAGAACCUGCCACACAUGUACGUACAAGUUAUCUCCAUCCACCUCAGAGCCUCCAUCCAAGUACAAUGAAAUUUCUUCAUGGAACCAAGCGGUUUAGUGUGGGAAGAAGAGCCAUCCUUUUGUAUUAGUGAGUGAACCUUUUAAUGUUAGAGAAGCUGGCAACAUCUAUACUUGUACAGUCCCUAAAUGUAAAAACAAAUAGUAAAGUUAUAAAACUUACAAAUAAACCUUUAUUUUUAAUAAUGAAA